AACCUGGAUUUUUUCUAAUCCACCCAAACUCUCAAAAAAGAAUUUU
rfam:Picea glauca, whole genome shotgun sequence.